UGCCAGGGCUAAAGAGAUGGUGCCUGGAGGAAUGCUCAUAGUUGUGAUGCCAAGUAUCCCAGAUGGGAUGCCUUAUUCUGAGCUAGCAAAUGGAAUAUUGUUCAACCUUAUGGAAUCAAUCCUUGUCGACAUGGCUAAAAGGGGACUAAUAAGAGAAGAAGAAAUCGAUUCCUUCAACUUGUCGUUAUACGCUGCCCCUCCAGGGGAGUUUGCUGCAGUGGUAGAAAAGAAUGGAUAUUUCAACAUUGAAGCAAUUGGACUAACAAAUCCAGCACCCUGGUUAACAGAUGACGUGCACGUUGACAUGAUAGAAUUUUUGAGGCA
rnacentral:misc_RNA from 1 species